rnacentral:rRNA from 1 species
GACGAACGCUGGCGGCGUGCCUAAUACAUGCAAGUAGAACGCUGAAGGAGGAGCUUGCUUCUCUGGAUGAGUUGCGAACGGGUGAGUAACGCGUAGGAAACCUGCCUGGUAGCGGGGGAUAACUAUUGGAAACGAUAGCUAAUACCGCAUAAUAGUAGAUGUCGCAUGACAUUUGCUUAAAAGGUGCAAUUGCAUCACUACCAGAUGGACCUGCGUUGUAUUAGCUAGUUGGUGAGGUAACGGCUCACCAAGGCAACGAUACAUAGCCGACCUGAGAGGGUGAUCGGCCACACUGGGACUGAGACACGGCCCAGACUCCUACGGGAGGCAGCAGUAGGGAAUCUUCGGCAAUGGACGGAAGUCUGACCGAGCAACGCCGCGUGAGUGAAGAAGGUUUUCGGAUCGUAAAGCUCUGUUGUAAGAGAAGAACGAGUGUGAGAGUGGAAAGUUCACACUGUGACGGUAUCUUACCAGAAAGGGACGGCUAACUACGUG